rnacentral:rRNA from 1 species
CAUGCAGUCGAGCGGAUGAGGGAGCUUGCUCCUGGAUUCAGCGGCGGACGGGUGAGUAAUGCCUAGGAAUCUGCCUGGUAGUGGGGGAUAACGUUCCGAAAGGAACGCUAAUACCGCAUACGUCCUACGGGAGAAAGCAGGGGACCUUCGGGCCUUGCGCUAUCAGAUGAGCCUAGGUCGGAUUAGCUAGUUGGUGAGGUAAUGGCUCACCAAGGCGACGAUCCGUAACUGGUCUGAGAGGAUGAUCAGUCACACUGGAACUGAGACACGGUCCAGACUCCUACGGGAGGCAGCAGUGGGGAAUAUUGGACAAUGGGCGAAAGCCUGAUCCAGCCAUGCCGCGUGUGUGAAGAAGGUCUUCGGAUUGUAAAGCACUUUAAGUUGGGAGGAAGGGCUGUAGGCUAAUAUCCUGCGGUUUUGACGUUACCAACAGAAUAAGCACCGGCUAACUUCGUGCCAGCAGCCGCGGUAAUACGUAGGGUGCGAGCGUUAAUCGGAAUUACUGGGCGUAAAGC